GACGAACGCUGGCGGCGUGCUUAACACAUGCAAGUCGAACGGAAAGGCUCCAGCUUGCUGGAGUACUCGAGUGGCGAACGGGUGAGUAACACGUGGGUAAUCUGCCCUUCACUCUGGGAUAAGCCUGGGAAACUGGGUCUAAUACUGGAUAUGACCUUUCUCCUUAUGGUGUUGGGUGGAAAGUUUUUCGGUGUAGGGUGAGCCGCGGGCCUAUCCGCUUGUUGGGGGGGUGAGGGCCUACCAAGGCGACGACGGGUAGCCGGCCUGGGGGGGGAAUCGGCCACAUGGGGCCUGGGAUCCGGCCCGGACCCUUACGGGAGGAAAAAGUGGGGAAUAUUGAAAAAGGGGCGGAAGCCUAAUGCAGCGCCGCCGGGGGGGGAAUAACGGCUUUCGGGUUGUAAACCUCUUUCAGCAGGAACGAAGCGUAAGUGACGGUACCUGUAGAAGAGGACCCGGCUACUUAUGU
rnacentral:rRNA from 1 species